rnacentral:rRNA from 1 species
UUACUGGCUAAUACCAAAUAACUCCGCACAUAUCAACAUGAUGUAUGCGGGAAAGCUUUUGCGGUAAGAGAUGGGGUCGCGGCCCAUUAGGUAGACGGCGGGGUAGAAGCCCACCGUGCCGAUGAUGGGUAGCCGGGUUGAGAGACCGACCGGCCACAUUGGGACUGAGAUACGGCCCAGACUCCUACGGGAGGCAGCAGUG